UAGGGUGUAGCUCAAUGGUAGAGUGUUUGCCCCUCAUCCAUGAAACCCUGGGUUUGAUCCCUAGCACCAUAA
rnacentral:tRNA from 1 species